GGCACACAACGUCCUCGCGUCUUCCCAGAAGUGGCGCCAAAGCUCUCCUUUGCGUCACCGCCGGACACAUCUACUACACUGUCGGAUGAAUGCAGUCUGACGCCACUUUUAACUGCCUUAUCUCAGUGCUGUGGAUUCCUGCGAGUUGCGGUUUGGUGAGGAAGUAACAGCUUUCGGUAGAAAGGCCUUUAAAACUAUAAUCCCCAGUAUUCCACAGAAGUUAAACGAGUGAUGUUGAACUGCACUUAUACAGUUUAGGGUUGAAUUAAUCCAGUUUGACAUCAGUUGUGCUGCCCUAUCUGAAUACUAUAGGAUCUUGGCAGUUGUAGUUCCUCAAGGUCUUUAGCUUUCUCUGCCGAAGAGUGCUGGCGCCCCACUAAACUACAAUUCCCGGAAUUUCAUAACAUUCACACCUGGGAGAUAAAGUGUGGUUAAACUGCAUUAAUUCGACAGUGUAGAUGCACCAUAAGUUUUACAUCGAUCAUAUCAUAAGCAGAUCUGUCCCAUUGGAAAAGAGAGUGACACUAGGAAGGACAAGGCAAUAGCAAAAGAGGAAGCCAUCACAACUAAAUUAGGCUAAAUUAAGGAGCCUGCAGUCCUGCAUUGAAGGUCUCGUCAUAGGAUUGACAUAAUUUGCAGUCAGUAUGGCCAUUAAGAGCAACAAACCUUUAAAGCCAAGUGACACAUCUAACCUGUUUGCAUGUCUGUCUAACUGAAGAGGCAUGAAUGGAAGGUGAAAGGGAAAAACAUACCAAGUGGAAGGCAUGUCAAGGAAACUCUUGCACAAACCACUUUACAUAUGGAAAUUGAUGCCCUCACUGUGAAAAACCAUGUGGAUCCAGAAAAUUUCUUCACAGUCACUUAUGAACCCACCACCAAGACUACCCUUGGAAUACAAUCAUACUCAGCCAAGAGUGAUAGCCUAUGAUGAUUAUGAAACUCAGUUAUGCUCUUAAAUAAUCCAGCCCCUGAAACAGGAAGGAAAACUGCUGAAUUGUUCUUAAAUCUCUCUGUAGACUGUAGAAUAUCACAACCUUCAGCUUGUACAGCUCUCUUCUACCUAUGUUCGGCACGACAUUUGUAUUCCAGGUAUUUUGUAUUAUAACAACUAUAACUUUUGGCAAAUGAAAACUGCAGUCAAAAAUCUCUGCAGGACUUGGUAAAGGUUGAGAAAUCUGGAGGAACAAAAACUGGUAAAUAUUUUGGAAUAAGAACAAGGAGAUCAUGGAUGCUUAUACAAUUUUGUAUGACACAGAGAAACUGAACUUAGAUAUUCUUGCUUCUUGUUGUUUGCCUUCCAAGUUGUUUCUGAGUUAUGGCAAUACUAAAAUGAAACUAUCAUGGGGUUUUCUUUGCAGGGUUUGUUCAGAGGGGAUUUCCUUAUGCCUACCUCUGAGGCCAUGAGAGUAUGGCUUCCCGAAAGUCACCCAGUGUGUUUCCAUGACUGGAUAUGGAUUCACAACCUGGUCACCAGGGCCAUAGUUCUCUGCUCAAACCACUAUACCACGGUGGCUUUCUUUGUUCUUGCUCAUCCUACUACCAUUUAGAAGCAUGCAAUUAUACUAAGUGGCAGAGGAUUCAGGAGAAACGUAAGAGGGCAAUUCUUUGUACAAUAUGUAACCAUAUGUGGAAGUUAAAUGUCAUAACAUGGAGUAAUAGUCAUUACCUGACAGUCACUUGAAUUCCUGCAGCCCCAGUAGAAGUCCCUACUCACCCAUGAAACCCACUUAUCAGCCUUAGGCCAGCUAUUCCCUCUCAGACCUAUUCUGAAGAUAAAUAAAGAUAAAACCAGCAAGGAGAAAUGUACACACACUAGGGUCCAGGAGGAAAGGCAGGACACAACUAAUAAAGGUUUAAUGAAAAGGUUAAUAUGGCUUUAAACACAAAUACAGAAUGUCAGCAUAAUCAUGCAUUUAAAAGCUUCCAGGGGACAUAUGUGUCUCCCUAAUGGUUGCUUGGGAGUAACCACAGGAGAGGAUUGUUGUCCUCACAGUACUUAUUAGGGAUAUCUGAUUGGCCCUGAUGGACUGGAAUUGAGUUUGAACUCUUGUGUUGAGUUUUAGCAAUGUUAGAAAACCAAGGUCCAAAUCCAGUUGUUAGUCCCAAUGGCAAUGGACCAACUAACCAACAGGGACUCAGAAAUUUAACACUGCUGAGUUUCAUGGAUUCAGUGGAUCUCCAUUUGGGAAUUAUGAUUUGGAUGUAGAUCUAGAAUGAAGAUGGAAAUCAUUACUCCUGAUUAGUAAAUGCUUUUUAAACAUUAAGAAAACAAAAAUAAUGAGCACAGAUAAUUUACAUACGUUUAAAAUAAAUGAUGAAAAC